GGGCUUUUAGCUCAGUGGUAGAGCGCGCCCCUGAUAAUUGCGUGGGCUGUGAGGGCUCUCAGCCACAUGGAUAGUUCA
rnacentral:tRNA from 1 species